rnacentral:tRNA from 1 species
CAUAGCUCAGUCGGAUAGAGCGACAGUCUCCGAAGCUGUAGGCCGGCGGUUCAAAUCCGCCUG